rnacentral:rRNA from 1 species
CCUACGGGUGUCAGCAGUGGGGAAUAUUGCACAAUGGGGGAAACCCUGAUGCAGCGACGCCGCGUGAGCGAUGAAGUAUUUCGGUAUGUAAAGCUCUAUCAGCAGGGAAGAAAAUGACGGUACCUGACUAAGAAGCCCCGGCUCACUACGUGCCAGCAGCCGCGGUAAUACGUAGGGGGCAAGCGUUAUCCGGAUUUAUUGGGUGUAAAGGGAGCGUAGACGGCGGUGCAAGCCAGAUGUGAAAGGCUGGGGCUCAACCCCGGGACUGCAUUUGAAACUGUGUGGCUAGAGGGCAGGAGAGGCGGGCGGAAUUCCUAGUGUAGCGGUGAAAUGCGUAGAUAUUAGGAGGAACACCAGUGGCGAAGGCAGCCUGC